rnacentral:rRNA from 1 species
GACGAACGCUGGCGGCGUGCCUAACACAUGCAAGUCGAGCGAGUUAAUCUCCUUCGGGAGUGAAGCUAGCGGCGGACGGGUGAGUAACACGUGGGCAACCUGCCUCAUAGAGGGGAAUAGCCUUCCGAAAGGAAGAUUAAUACCGCAUAAGAUUGUAGCUUCGCAUGAAGUAGCAAUUAAAGGAGCAAUCCGCUAUGAGAUGGGCCCGCGGCGCAUUAGCUAGUUGGUGAGGUAACGGCUCACCAAGGCGACGAUGCGUAGCCGACCUGAGAGGGUGAUCGGCCACAUUGGGACUGAGACACGGCCCAGACUCCUACGGGAGGCAGCAGUGGGGAAUAUUGCACAAUGGGGGUAACCCUGAUGCAGCAACGCCGCGUGAGUGAUGACGGCCUUCGGGUUGUAAAGCUCUGUCUUCAGGGACGAUAAUGACGGUACCUGAGGAGGAAGCCACGGCUAACUACGUGCCAGCAGCCGCCGUAAUAC